CUUCUCAUUUCUGAGCUUGCCUUUAUGUUUCCAUGUGCAUAUCCAUGCUUUGUCCCACACAUCGACAGCUCCUUUCGCAUUCAUUUCCUAUACGUAUAUUGCUUUGCAGGCCAGAUGCUAGCUUCCUCCCCAUUGAAAACUACUUUACAUCACUGCUUUAUUACCCAUGAUCUAUAUAUAUAUAUUUUCUCUUUCUCUUGGUUGUUGGUUGACCCAAUUCAACAUUAAUUAGCUAUUUUCUUCUUUAUCACCUUCGGAUGAAAUUUAGAUGGGCAUUGAUUACUUUCCUCAUAUCUAUCAAGUUUCUUGUGGGAUCACUCGUGAUAUAUCGUAUAGUUUUCAACUACUUGCUUUGGCUACGAUCUAGUGGUUGAAUAGCAUUUAAUAGACAAUUCUAUUCUCAUGAAGGUUAGAAACUUUGGAUAUAGAUGUAUUAAAAAUUUAUCAAAAUCGCUAGGUGACUAUCAUCUUGCUCCGUUUUUGCAAUAUGAUAUUGAUAUGUAGCAAGCUAUGUGUUGCCAGCUACCUUGCUAUUUUCCCCAUUACUUUAACCUAUAUCAGCAAGGCACUUGGUGGUUAUUGAACCCAGUUUAAUGACUUCUUUUCUUAUCAUAACCUCAUCAGGAUAAGCUUUUCUUGAUCCAAAAGGUAAUCCAAUAUCCGCUCUAUCAAUCCCAGAACGCUUAAUUUGGGUUGGGCUCCUUGCAUGUCAUAUCCAAGAGUUGCCUUUAUUCAUUUCGUAGAAUUUGAAUAUCUUUUAGGCCCGUUAUGAAGCUUGCAGAAAAAUGGGCCAGUCCAACAUUCAGGCACUACAUCAAACAUAUAGGGGGCCAUAUGGAAAUCGCACAAAACGAAGCCAAUCUAACGUAAGAAGCUAUUUUGCUGGUCAUUGACAUUGAAAUUCAUUUAUUUAAAUUUAUUGAAACGAAAUGAAGACUUCAGCUUAGAAUUUGUAUCAGGCGUUGUAAAAGACCUGUUCAACUUUGCACUUCACUCUCACAAAGAAUCGUUCUCUCAAAGACUUAAAGAGGGUAUUUAAAAGAAAUUAUGAAAUUUAAAUAACUUGCACACGAUUAAAAUGCUUAAUAAAAAGGUAACCAAUAAGAAAUUUAUUAUUAAAAUUAUUAAAGUGAAAUAUGUUGAGCGUUUUAAAAUUAAACAAGAAUAGCACCAGAAAGUACUUGUAAUGCUUACAGACACUAAUGAAAAAGCUACGACCUCCAUUUUUUUCUUUUGGGUUAUACCGAGAAAAUAUUUUAAACAAACGAAUUAGCAUAAACUUAAUGCUUAUUACAAACGAAUUAGCUUAACUUUAAAGCAGAUUAUGAAUGAAGACAAACAUGCUCUUAUUUUCUCUACAAACCAACAUUUUUCCAUUUUGCAACCAAAUAUCUCAUCUUCUAUGGUGGAAAUAGCUCUAUAUGAUCAGCAACAAGUUGCUGUUAUAUCCAACCUUCACCAAUAUACAUUAGUAGAGACCAAAAAGCAAGUUUGCUGAUGGCUUCUGCAAAGCAUGGUGAUGUGGUUAUCCACAUAUUUCUUCCUCGGCAGAGGGCUUUCUACAACUUGGAAGAGUUCUAUGGCAAUGCAAGUCCCAUAGAACUCCCUUUGGAGAACCAACCACCAUUUCGAAGUGAAAAUGGACAUAAGAAGCCUGUAUUUAUGGCUGGAUGACUACGAGCCAAUUUCAAAUCUGCUGGUUUGAAUUUGCGUGACAUGCAUUCAAGGCCUGGCAACGUUGACAAUUUUCUUGCUAAAGAUGAGCAUUGGUUAAUGUUGAGGAAUGCCACUGGCUUGGAAUCCAUUGUUGCAUAGUUUACUCCAAAAAGUUGGUGAAUCACGUGUGUAUAUCAUGUGUAUGAGCUACACACCAUUGCUAUAAGAAAGUUUGGACAUGAUGUUCUUGCAGUUGA